rnacentral:tRNA from 1 species
GGCAAUGGUCCAGUGGAUAGGACACUGGACUGGGAAUCCAGGAGGCUUGGAUUCUACUUCCAGCUUAGCCA